AGCGGGAUAGAGCAGCGGCAGCUCACCAGGCUCAUUACCUGGAGGUCGGGGGUUCGAGUCCCCCUCCCGCAA
rnacentral:tRNA from 1 species